AAAAUAUUGACGGUCAGCCCUAAAUAAAGGCACUUUGGAGGCAUGAUGCUUUACAUGGCAGGGAUCUUCAGUAAACUGAAUUCUUGGGAAUUCACCAAGGAAUUACUUAAUCUAGUACAAAUAAAGAUGAUCAGUGUCAGCUCUUUUCAGCUCAGCCUUUUUGUUUGCCCAUUUUAAAUGUGCAGUUUUUUGACAAAUUAUUGACAAUUCCUGCUUCCAACACAUGAAAUUUAAGAACAGACUGUUCACUUGCUGUUAAUAUAUCCUAUCUUUAGACAGGUG